CCUCCGAGUUUGUGCUUCACGUUUUGCGAGACUAAAGAGUUGCACAUCAAACAUGGAAGAGCAUAGAUGUCAGUUUGGAAUGAAGCAAACGGUUUUUUCACCAAGCCCUUCCUUCCCUUGCUCAUGGAAAAUUUGUCUUCCGAUUCUCACCUUAAAGACAUGACGACAGAUAGCAGAAGUCGAUCGAGUGUGUCUCGUGGUCAUGGUAGAGGGAGAGUUUCUACCAAAUUUCCAAGGAUUGCUCAGUCACCGUCCUUUACUCCGACUACCCCGUCGACUCCUGUGACGUCACAAGCGGAUCCAGCGGGCUAGUAGUUCAUCAUGGUCCUGAACCCGAACUACGUGCCUCCUUCUGCUACGCCCCUAUAAAUCCAGCGACAGAUCCCGCAGUGGGUGAUUCAUUUAAUACGUCCCAGCAGGAUACCCCUCCACCACCGCUCGUCAUACGGGUUCGGAUUUGAUCUGAUGGCAUGUAGAUGUUUGCAUCAAACAACAAUGCUUGUACACAGGAGAUCUCUGAAGUGAUUAAGUCAAUGUACGACCACCUGUGGCCGACCUACACGAAGAUCCCUGUUGACAAUAGAGAGCGAUGAUUUUCAGAAGUGGGUGUUGAAAUUCAUAUGAGAUACAAAACAUAAUCUCGUGAUUUGGAAGAUCUAUGACCACCGGGCAACUAAACGACUUCAGCAAAUGAUGAGCGACAUUCGUCAAGGGCGCGACCAUCUAACGACCUGGAUCUGUCCAUCUAUCAAGAAGGAACUAGAGACCCAUUUUAGAACUGAUGGGGGGUUCAAGCGUCGCCAUCUGACGAACGUCGCUAACAGAGCUUCGUCAAGGUCGUCAAAGUAUACAGGUAGGUCAGCGACUUUCAUAAAGACAAAGAGCAGGUUGGUAAGUACUUCACAUGUUUGUUAAUUAUUACUUGAAUUAGUUGUUUCUUGACUUAUUUACUUAGUUGAUUUCGAUAUGUGCAGUUUAAGUCGUUCGAUUAUGAGGCGACACUGGCGGAACCUUCAAGUAUACCCAUACUUUGAAGGCCAACAAGAAGAAAUUUGCUGAUGAGCGGUCUGUGACUCAUUAUGAGGUCUACACAUAUAGAUUGGAGGCCCCAACCCAGCAACAUCAAUCGCCUAGUGAAAACGACGACCCCGAUAUCUCAGUGGUAGAUCCUGAUAGGGUUUGGCGCGAGACCGCCUCUGAGCCCCACAAGAAUUGCGUCUUCGAGUUGGGGUCGUUAUUUGCUAAUGGUCUCCGCACCUCUGCAUUGGCGGCUUCAUCUGCGUCUGCCUCUGCCACCAGCCCUGUCGAUCCCGCGGAAGUUGUCGACUUGAGGGAGGAGGUGUAGAAGAUCACACAGGAGGUUCACCAACAAGCUCAACAGUCUAAGCAGAGGUACAACGAGCUUCUUGCACGCAUGGGAGACACUGCAGCCAUCAACUCGCAGAUGACGGCGAAGCUGGAGCGGCUAGAGCGUUUGCGGGAGUAGAUUGAGGUGUACAACGAGCAUAUGCGCAUUGGAGGUAGCGACGCUACUGGUAAGGCACCGACAUCAGCACCUACUCCACCGCCUCAGUAGGGGAAAGACGACGAUGACGAUGGCGACAAUUACCAGGAUCAGUAGGAUUUAGGGAUUUAAUUUAUUUUAUGCCUAUUUCAUUGUAUUUUACUUCUAUGACAUUUUACUAUAUUCAGACAAUUG